rnacentral:tRNA from 1 species
AUUUAAAUAGUUUAAUAUAAAAUUCUAAUUUGUGGUGUUAGGGAUGCUUAAAUGUAUACAGCUUUAAAUU